rnacentral:rRNA from 1 species
CCCUUAGAUGUUCUGGGCCGCACGCGCGCUACACUGAUGCAUUCAACGAGCCUAUCCUUGACCGACAGGUCCGGGUAAUCUUUGAAUCUGCAUCGUGACGGGGAUAGAUUAUUGCAAUUAUUAAUCUUCAACGAGGAAUGCCUAGUAGGCGCAAGUCAUCAGCUUGCGUCGAUUACGUCCCUGCCCUUUGUACACACCGCCCGUCGCUCCUACCGAUAGGGUGUGCUGGUGAAAUGUUCGGAUCGGCCGUUUGUCGCGGUUUCCGCGUCAUGUGGCUGAGAAGUUCAUUAAACCCUCCCACCUAGAGGAAGGAGAAGUCGUAACA